UAGCCGUAAACGAUACUCGCUAGGUGUCGGCCACGGUGCGACCGUUGUCGGUGCCGUAGGGAAGCCGUGAAGCGAGCCACCUGGGAAGUACGGCCGCAAGGCUGAAACUUAAAGGAAUUGGCGGGGGAGCACCACAACGGGUGGAGCUUGCGGUUUAAUUGGAUUCAACGCCGGAAAUCUUACCGGGACCGACAGCAACAUGAAGGCCAGGCUGAAGACUUUGCCGGAUUAGCUGAGAGGAGGUGCAUGGCGUAGUCGUUGU
rnacentral:rRNA from 1 species